AUAAGAGACAUGAUUUGACUGUCUUGGGUGUCAGCUUAACAUUCCAUAGAUGGGGUAGUUUUUACAUCCUAUAAUACCAAGCAUACUAAAUGGCAAUUUGGAGUCAGUCGUGCAUUUAAUAUGUCUUGAACAUUUUAAAUUACUUCUAUUCCCAUGUUGUUUUUGGUAGAAUUGUUUCCUAAAGAAAACCACCUCUUGAUCUUGGCUCUCCCCAGUCUCUUAU